GCUUUGGCUGGAUCUCGGAUAUCACUGGUUUUGACAUGUGGCUGUUAAAGUGUCCCGUCAUUCACUCUGAACUGAGUUUAAACUCAUUCUGGCUUUCAGGAGAAGUAUUAAUACAAUGUUUUAGUCCUAUGAGAAGUUAAGUG